GCAGAAGAGGACAGUGGAACUCCAUGCGUAGCGGUGGAAUGCGUAGAUAUAUGGAAGAACACCAGUGGCGAAGGCGGCUGUCUAGUCUGUAACUGACGCUGAGGCUCGAAAGCAUGGGUAGCGAACAGGAUUAGAUACCCUGGUAGUCCAUGCCGUAAACGAUGAGUGCUAAGUGUUGGAGGGUUUCCCCCUUCAGUGCUGCAGCUAACGCAUUAAGCACUCCGCCUGGGGAGUACGACCGCAAGGUUGAAACUCAAAGGAAUUGACGGGGGCCCGCACAAGCGGUGGAGCAUGUGGUUUAAUUCGAAGCUACGCGAAGAACCUUACCAGGUCUUGACAUCUUCUGCCAAUCUUAGAGAUAAGACGUUCCCUUCGGGGACAGAAUGACAGGUGGUGCAUGGUUGUCGUCAGCUCGUGUCGUGAGAUGUUGGGUUAAGUCCCGCAACGAGCGCAACCCUUAUUAUCAGUUGCCAGCAUUCAGUUGGGCACUCUGGUGAGACUGCCGGUGACAAACCGGAGGAAGGUGGGGAUGACGUCAAAUCAUCAUGCCCCUUAUGACCUGGGCUACACACGUGCUACAAUGGACGGUACAACGAGUCGCGAAGUCGUGAGGCUAAGCUAAUCUCUUAAAGCCGUUCUCAGUUCGGAUUGUAGGCUGCAACUCGCCUACAUGAAGUUGGAAUCGCUAGUAAUCGCGGAUCAGCAUGCCGCGGUGAAUACGUUCCCGGGCCUUGUACACACCGCCCGUCACACCAUGAGAGUUUGUAACACCCAAAGCCGGUGAGAUAACCUUCGGGAGUCAGCCGUCUAAGGUGGGACAGAUGAUUAGGGUGAAGUCGUAACAAGGUAACCA
rnacentral:rRNA from 1 species